rnacentral:rRNA from 1 species
AGCAGCCGCGGUAAUUCCAGCUCCAAUAGCGUAUAUUAAAGUUGUUGCAGUUAAAAAGCUCGUAGUUGAAUUUCGGAAUCAAUUUGUUGGUCGUGCCUCGGUACGUACUGGUAUUAUUGAUUCCUACCUUCUGACGAACCAUGAUGUCAUUAAUUUGGUGUCUUGGGGAAUCAGGACUGUUACUUUGAAAAAAU